AACACCCUCAUACUUAUCAGCAAGGCCAACCUUAGCAAGAGCACGACGAGCGACCAAAAGACCGGUAGCGUAGGCGGCAGUCCAGUUGGCCAAACCCCAUUUGAUACCGUAACGAGGAAGCUCAGAAGAGUGAGCGUGAGCAAGAACAUAGUCACCGUUUACUCUGGAAGAAACUAUUUGGCAUGUGACGAAACGAUUGGAGAAACGAACGACCAAACGGUACUUGGGAGCAUUGUAUUUGUUCUUGGCCUGGGCAAUCAAACGCUUACGAGCGUAAUAAUCGGUUUUACCCUCACGACGACGACGAUAUUUCGUCUGAUAACGUGAAAAGUAAGGGCUGCUCUUGACUGCUUUGAUAAAGGGCAUGUCGGUAAACGGACAAAAGUAUGAUAUUAUUCCUAAGU